rnacentral:rRNA from 1 species
GAUGAACGCUGGCGGCGUGCCUAAUACAUGCAAGUCGAGCGAACGGACGCUAAGCUUGCUUUUUUGAUGUUAGCGGAGGACGGGUGAAUAACACGUGUAUAACCUACCUAUAAGACUGGUAUAACUUCGAGAAACGGGAUCUUAUACCGUAUAAUAUUCUGAACCGCAUGGUUCAAAAGUGAAAUACGGUCUUUCUGUCACUUAUAGAUGGAUCCGCGCUGCAUUAGCUAGUUGGUAAGGUAACGGCUUAUCAAGGCAACUAUGCAUAGACGACGUGCGGGGGUGGUCGGCCACACUGGAGCUGGGACACGGUCAAGAGUCCUAAGGGAGGCAGCAGUAGGGAAUCUUACGCAAUGGGCGGAAGCAUGACGGAACAGGGCCGAGUGUGAGGCGACGGUGUUCGGAUCGUAAAGAUCUGUUAUUAGGGAUGAACAUAUGUGUAAGGAAAUGAGGACAUCUUGACGGUAACUAAUAAGAAAGCCACGGCUAACUACGUG